GCCGCGGUGGCGGAACUGGCAGACGCGCUAGGUUGAGGGCCUAGUUCCCUUCAUCGGGAGUGGGAGUUCGAAUCUCCCCCGCGGCA
rnacentral:tRNA from 1 species